rnacentral:rRNA from 1 species
GGCGGCGUGCUUAACACAUGCAAGUCGAGCGGAAAGGCCCUUCGGGGGUACUCGAGCGGCGAACGGGUGAGUAACACGUGAGUAACCUGCCCCUAGCUCUGGGAUAAGCCCGGGAAACUGGGUCUAAUACCGGAUAUCACACACUUUUGCAUGAUGGUGUGUUGAAAGUUUUUCGGCUGGGGAUGGGCUCGCGGCCUAUCAGCUUGUUGGUGGGGUGAUGGCCUACCAAGGCGACGACGGGUAGCCGGCCUGAGAGGGCGACCGGCCACACUGGGACUGAGACACGGCCCAGACUCCUACGGGAGGCAGCAGUGGGGAAUAUUGCGCAAUGGGCGGAAGCCUGACGCAGCGACGCCGCGUGGGGGAUGAAGGCCUUCGGGUUGUAAACCUCUUUCACCACCGACGAAGCUAACGUGACGGUAGGUGGGGAAGAAGCGCCGGCUAACUACGUGCCAGCAGCCGCGGUAAUACGUAGGGCGCAAGCGUUGUCCGGAAUUAUUGGGCGUAAAGAGCUCGUAGGCGGUCUGUUGCGUUGCCCGUGAAAACCCGAGGCUUAACCUCGGGCCUGCGGUGGAUACGGGCAGACUAGAGGUAGGUAGGGGAGAAUGGAAUUCCCGGUGUAGCGGUGAAAUGCGCAGAUAUCGGGAGGAACACCGGUGGCGAAGGCGGUUCUCUGGGCCUUACCUGACGCUGAGGAGCGAAAGCGUGGGGAGCGAACAGGAUUAGAUACCCUGGUAGUCCACGCCGUAAACGUUGGGCGCUAGGUGUGGGGUUCUUCCACGGAUUCCGCGCCGUAGCUAACGCAUUAAGCGCCCCGCCUGGGGAGUACGGCCGC